CCAAUUUUAGUAAAAAGUGAUGCACAUUAGUGGUUGAGCUAAGACAUUUUAUAAAGUAAUAAUUUGUAGCAUCUGUCAUGCUUGGUUAUGGUAUUAUGGGGUAACAUCAUAGAAUCCAAUUGCCACUGACCUUGUUUGACCGUUACUUUGGAGUCCAAACAUUACAACACAGUCCAAACUAUUCCAUUUAUUAAUCCUAUUAGCUCAACCAAUAAUUUGCAUCACUUAAUAAAACUGGUGGAACUUUAACUUUUGUCCACUGUACAAAAGUGAAAUUGACCUUUUGUCAUCAUUUUUUGAUGUUUUUAACCCCAUAACUCCAAAACAUUCAGUCAUAGAUUGUCCAAACUAUACCUUUUUGGAGUCUUUAUAAUCAAUCAAAUAACGUGG